rnacentral:rRNA from 1 species
UACGUAGGGGGCAAGCGUUGUCCGGAAUUAUUGGGCGUAAAGGGCGCGUAGGCGGUCCGAUAAGUCGGCUGUGAAAGUCAGGGGCUCAACCCUUGGAAGCCGGCCGAUACUGUCGGACUAGAGUCCGGAAGAGGCGAGUGGAAUUCCCGGUGUAGCGGUGAAAUGCGCAGAUAUCGGGAGGAACACCAAUGGCGAAGGCAGCUCGCUGGGACGGUACUGACGCUGAGGUGCGAGAGCGUGGGGAGCGAACCGG